rnacentral:tRNA from 1 species
UCUAAUGUGGCAGAAUAGUGCACUGGACUUAAAUCCCAAUUAUAGAUUAAAACUCUUUAGAA